GUCCUUGCUGCUCUGACGUAUACUGCAUCAUGGAAUUUUCUAGACACGUGUUGGAAGUUUAGAAAGGAAGAGGUGGGGCAAGACGAGUGGAGAGUGUGGAGGUGACGGUAGUGAUGGAGAUUGGUUUGAUUUCAAUUGAUUAAUGUGUUACGCUAAUUGGUUAAGGGUUGAUAGUAGGCAGUGGAUAGUUUGUGAUGGCAUUGUUAGUUGGUGAUAGAAGUGGAUAGUGAUUAUUGUAGCGGUGAGAGUCGUGGUGGUGGCAAUAAUGUUUGUUGUUAUCGGUUCAAUUACUGUUUCGGUGGUAUUGAAGAUAUGACUUCUCUGUAUUCCUACGUUGACUAUUUAUUUAUUAUAAUUAUUAUUAUUAUUUUUUUUUUUUCACUGGAUGAGCCUCACUGCCUAAUCCUCAUCCUGACACUCCUCGAUCGUCACUCAUCAGGAAGUAUAGCAUUCAUUCCCUUUAACCAGGAACUGCUCUCCAGGUAAACUCUGCGUUUAUAUUUCUUGAAAUUAGAUAUCCUGUAAUCAUCAUCGCAGAAAAUAUGAUUGUUAAUGAUACAGCGAAUAUGCAGUAUUUCUAUGUUAUUUAGACUUCGAAAAAAAAAAAAAAAAAAGCAAUGCUGUAGUAAAAAUCGCGGGUGUCUGUGUGUAUGAACCCUCCAUGAAACAGCGGAGAUGCUUCGAAGUAUGUUUCGGCCGAUGUUUUCUGUCUUUUUUUGUCAGGUGUAGUUGGGCCGGUGGUAGUCACCAGUCGGUCUGUGCGCUGCGUCCAGGUAGAGACAGGCGGGAAUGAUGGUGAGUGAAGCUAUCGUCACACUAGAAGGUGGCCAGACUGAACGUGAACGCAGUUGAAGUGGUUGAAAAUGGUAUCGAACUAUCUCCACACAACCCCUAUUGGUGGUGCUUAUGCCCUAUGGUGACAUGGGAAGCAGGAAGGAAGAGGUGGCAAGACAUAAGACUGAUUAAGGAAAAGAGCAAGGGAUUAAGAAACUAUCUACUGAGUGUUGACUGGCAACGGAUAGGAGGGAACGCCCAGAAUGGAGUUUCCGAGAUCCACAGCGAGACAUGUAAUCCUGGAAUGAGUAAGCCUCAACAUGAUGCAAAAACAUGACAAAAGAGAGGAAUAAGAAGUCUUCAUUGCCAGUGUUGGGACCAAUCAUAUCAGCUGCUUACCUGCUCACCCACCUGCCGAUGUCACCCUAGCCAACUACUGAAGUGGCACUGUGGUCUGUAUUCAACAGCUGAGUGUGGUCUGAGUCAGGUUAUGUUGAGAUGGGUGAUGAUGUGAGGUUGGGGAAUAUUGAUAGGGCUGAAGUGGGGGAUUUAAAGCAGGGAAUUAUUGUAUAAAUAAUACUUCCUUGAUAAAUUACAUACAGACCAGGUUGCUAACAUCUCAUCUAAAAUGGUAAGAUCACAAAUGAAUGACAGAAGAGACGAUAUAGAAGAUUGAAGGCAGGAGGUGAGAUUUUAAGGUUAUGAUAUAACAAAUUAGAAUGGACUACAGGUUAAUGAGUAAAGCUAAAAGGAAUUAUGAGUUGAAGGUAGACAGCCAGGCAAAGAUGGAUCCCAAGGGAUUUUUUCAGAUAUACAAGUCAAAAAAGUAAGAAAUUAGUCCUAUAAAGGCAGCUAAUGGGGAGCUGGUUAGUUCUGGGGAGGAGAUUAGUAAUACUAAAGUAUGAACAAGUAUUUUUCAACUGUUUUCACUCAGGAAAACCUGCAGGGAAUUCCAGAGAGAACAGAUUUUUAGAGCAGAAGAGUGAGAAGCCGACAGAUAUUUACAUACCCUAAAGGAGAUGGUAGAGCAGGAGAUAGAUCAACUAAAAAUAAAAUUGAAGUCACCAGGACCUGAUAAAAUAUACCCAAGAUAAGGAAUGCAAGGUCGUCAGGGAGUCGCUUGCAUUGGUCUUUAGGAUAUAUAUCACUAGGGUCAGAUGAGGUACUGAUAAUGUGGAGGCAUGCCAACGUUGUAUGCAUAUUUAAGAAAGAGAAAAAACCAUUAACUUCAAUUAUAUAGGUCAGUAAUACAGCAAAGAAAAUAAGGGAACAUCUAGCUAGACAAGCACCAACUUGAGAUAAAUCAUUCUCAACAUAGACUUAUGAAGGGUUUUUACAGGAAAGUUAGAGGUGGCCACCUGCAGCUGAGGUACGCAAUUGACAUCAACUUUCAUGGAGAAGCACACUUCAUUGGCAGCUGCAGACUGGUGAAGAAAAGUUGUCUGCCGCAGCAAUAGUGAAAGCUUACAGAAAGUAUAAAGGACAGGCAACAGGCCAGAAUCAAACUUGCCACUCUCGUAUCUUCAUUGCCAGUGUUGGUACCAAUCAGAUCAACUUCCUGCCUGCCGAGAUUGUCCUCGCCAACUAGUUUAGUGGUUCCCAUAGGAUUCAACAAAAGUGUGCCAGUUGGAUCAGCAUCACUACUGAGGAUAAUGAAGGUGGACCGAGGUCGCCUAAAAUUGUACUAAGCCGGAAACACUUGGAAGACACUCUGGAGAGGAUAUAUUGUAAUAGUGUGUAGCAAUUAAUAAAAAAAAAAAGUACUUGUUUAUCAAAUUCUCCAUUUAUCUUUGAUUAGUAUAAUUUUAGGCCACCUUCAGUAAGUGAUGUUGGCACACUUUGUCAAAUCCAGACCACAGUGCCUUAUGGAAGCCACUUUAGUUAGCCAGGAUGAGGCUAGGCAAGCAGGAAGUUGAUCUGAUUGUGCAACACUAGCCAAGGAGGAAGUUGAUCUGAUUGUGCAACACUAGCCAAGCAGGAAGUUGAUCUGAUUGUGCAACACUUUCAUCUGGAUCUGCUGUGCAACACUCAUCUGGAUCUGCAGUUUUUGGCAAGCCAUUUCUGUUGCACACUUUCAUCUGGAUCUGCUGUGCAACACUCAUCUGGAUCUGCAGUUUUUGGCAAGCCAUUUCUGUCAUGUGCAAGGAAACUCAGAUGUAUUUUCUUGCAUCAUCACCAAGUCUAUUGAAGAAAAGAAUACAAAUAAAAAAUUAGUGUUCCCAUCCAUGAAAAUGUAGAAUUCCUUAAAUAUAUCAGAUGACUGUUAAAGCAUGCUAGGCUAUAUAUCAGAUGGGUUUCUUUCUUCCUGAUCUAGCAAUGAAGGGAACUAAGACAAGUUCAGUGCUUGUAAUCAAUGGGAAAUGGAAUGACUUGUUCAUGGAACUCAUCUUUCCUGACUUAGCAAUGAUACUUAAGCGAGAGCUGCAGGUCAAUAGUGAUCAGUACGUUACAUAUUGUAGCAAUGAUACUUAAGCAAGAGCUGCAGGUCAAUAGUGAUCAGUACGUUACAUAUUGUAAAUCCUUAAAUUUAAAAUUAAGUUGUCAAGAAAUACUUAUGUAGUAAACGAAUAUUUUCAUUGAAAUCAUUUAAUAUACAUGUAUAUUUAAUUUUGACUAUGAAUCAUUAUUUUUAUAACCAUUAUUUAAUAUACAUGUAUAUUUAAUUUUGACUGAAUCAUUAUUUUUAUAACCAAUGUAACAACACUUAAAUCACUUUCAAUACAUCUAGAUACUCAUUUUCGUUUUAAAUUAUGAAAAAAUCAUAAGUAAUUUCGAUUGUUUCAAUCAUUCAAUAUAUGUGGUCUCAAUGUCCAAUACAUUGACACUGCCUACUUACUCUUCCCGCUAACGUUCAUCAGCUCUUCGCCCACUGGACCAAACGCCUCCGUUUGUUAAGGGUUUCUGUCCUUCACUCACAGUGAGGAACACACACCCUAUCUCUUGCACCUGGGAUCUGUCCCUGCAAGCGAACAGUAAUAAAUUUCUGGUAUUUUU